GAUCAUGGCUCAGAUUGAACGCCGGCGGCAGGCUUAACACAUGCAAGUCGAACGGUAACAGGAGAGAGCUUGCUUUCUUGCUGACGAGUGGCGGACGGGUGAGUAAUGCUUGGGAAUCUGGCUUAUGAGGGGGGAUAACGACGGGAAACUGUCGCUAAUACCGCGUAGAGUCGAGAGACGAAAGUAGACGGGACGGCAAGGCCGCACGCCACUAGGAUGAGCCACGUACGGAGUAGGUAG
rnacentral:rRNA from 1 species